ensembl:lincRNA Gm29318 predicted gene 29318
CCCUCUAGUGUUCACUGCACAUGAAGUUUUUCUGCCCAGAAAUAAGGCAAGACUGUCUGGCUGUUUUUCAAUUUCCUAUGGAAGGACAAAGCUUAGAGUGAAGAUUUUAGGUGUCUAAUGGCACAAAGCAGCACAAAGCAGUCUGUGGCAAAUUCCACUGGGACGUCCCAUUCUCCACAAGGACUGAAAUGGCCCACUUGGAAAGCAGCAUGUGAGGCUUUGAGCCUUUUUUCCCCCUGCCACUCUCCAGAGAACAUUAAAUCGUACUUUUCAUUCCUGUCACCAUAGGGGGAACCCUCUUAAUGAUGACAGAGAAAGAAAAAUUCCAUCACACUGUCUUAUGAUACCAUUCUGCUGUCAAGCAAGCGUUUCCCUGGUCAGAGAAUCAAACAUGGCUUCCAGCAGGUGGAUGUCGCUGAAGGUCAUAGGCAGCAGAAUGCAGGGUUACACACGAGGAAGCACGUGUUCCCACAGCAAAUUAAGUCAUCUAUGAAGCAUUCUCAUUUCCCGGCUACUAAAUUUAUAACUUCUUUGAAGGGUCAUAACUGAUUUGGUGCAUAUACACUUUAGUGAAAGUAUCUGAAAGUCUUGAGAAGCAGGCUUGCCCCAAUUAAAAGCAGUGACAGAUGCACAUGUGUAAUGGGAAUGAGUGGAAUUUUAAACGUGUUUACCUGAUUCUCUUAUUACUUAUUAAGGCAAUAGAAUCUUGAGUACUUAGAUAUCUUUAAAGACAGAACCUUUAUCGCUGAACAGCAGCAAUUUCAAAAGUAAACUUGGAAGAACGAGGACGAGUCACAUUUUUAUUUUUUUAAAGAAUAAAAGACUAUUUUACACUUUACUUCUGAAGCCUGAGCUACACCACAGUUCACUGGUACUGUGCAUCCUGAUGACCUUACUACUGUGGUUUCUAUAUAGCUACAGCUAGACAUUUCAUUUAAAAUUGAAAACAAAACUAUUUUUUUGUAAAAUAAGGAAU